rnacentral:rRNA from 1 species
GCUUACGACCACACCGGCCUGAGUACGCCUGAUCUCGUCUGAUCUCGGAAGCUAAGCAGGGUCGGCCUGGUUAGUACUUGGAUGGGAGACCGCCUGGGAAUACCAGUUGCUGUAAGCU